UGGAAUGGGUGAAAUUCUUGGAGGGGAUGCUGGUGAAGUAUAAGGAGGAGAUGGAAAUAAAUUUGAAGCCGGGGAUGGGGAUGGGGAUGGAAUUUGUGGAACUUUUGAAGGGGAUGUAACUGGAGAAAUAUAAGAAGGCAAUGGAGGUAAAAUGGGAGCUGAAGAUGGGGUCGGAGGUGAAGCUGAUGGCAAUGGUGGAGAUUUUGCUGAUGGUGCAGGAGAUUUUGCUGGUGGUGGUGGUGGUGGAGAUUUUGCUCGUGGCGGCGGCCGAAGGUGAUGAAUUUUUGGAGGUGGUGGGGGCAUUUUCUUUUUAUUUGGAGGUGGUGGUGAUCAAGGGGGCGACGGUGUUCCUCGAUUCAGAAGUCCUGAUGGUUGAAAUACAGAGUUUUUAUGAUUAUAUGGUAAUGGUGGAUCUUCGUGAUCAUGAGGUGGACUAGGAGGUUCCUCAUUAUCAUAAAUAUUGGCCGCCGCGUUAAUUGCUAGUAAGCCGAAAACCAUGGCAUGCACAAGAUGACACCGAGAUGGUGACGCCAUCCUUUCGAACUCUUCCCAAUAAUCACAUCGCUAAUUAUAUAUCAAAGUAAUUAUAAUCAAGUUUAUACACCUGGAAGUCCAAAUAAUUGAGAUUUUCACGUGGGGAAAGUCUUCAAUGUAUAUAGGUAAACAUUGUCCUGAUAUCUAAAUUCUCUUUUACUGUUUUUCUCCAAAGAAAUUAGACGAGUAAAAAGUUUAACGAUAAGAAUUGUAAAAAAAGAAGUAAUUAUCGUAAUAAAAGACAUUCAUUUAGUAUUAUAAUGCUUUUCAACAAACAUAAUAUUUUCCUCCAUAUUAUCCAUAUAUUAUUACAAUAACUAAUUUUCUAUGAUAUUAUUCUGGCAUGAUUGAUGGAGCACAAUCGACUUUCCUUCAACUGAUUACAUUUUCAAUACAUGCAUUAUAUAAUAUGUAAGUCUCUUCGAAGAAACCCACUGCCAUCAUUAACCAUAUAUAAUCUGAAAAAAAAAACACAAUUAGAGAUUAAAUAUUGGUAAAUUAAAAAAAAAAGAACCAUGUUAUCGAAAUGAACAAUCUAUUACAAAGAAAGUUAAAAGAACUGACCAAUUUUGAUAGAUAUUUUUGAACAAGGUGGAGGUUAAUUAUUGGAUGAAGGAGGUGAUGGAGAUAGAGGAGGCGGGGAUUUAGAUUUAAAGUGAAAGAAGGGAGGAAGUGUAAACCUCGAAGGAGGUGGAAAUUUAAGGAUAUGUGGAGGGGGAGAAGGAGAUGGACGUGGCGGGGAUUUAAAGUAAAAGAAGGGAGGAAGUGUAAACCUCGGAGGAGGUGGAGAUUUGAGGAUAGGUGGAGGGGGAGAAGGAGAUGGAGGUGGCGGCGAUUUAAAGUGAAACAAGGGAGGAAGUGUAAACCUCGGAGGAGGUGGAGAUUUGAGGAAAGGUGGAGGGGGGGAAGGAGAUGGAGGUGGCGGGGAUUUAAAGUGAAAGAAGGGAGGAAGUGUAAACCUCGGAGGAGGUGGAGAUUUGAGGAUAGGUGGAGGGGGUGGAGGAGAAGUAUAAGGAGGUGAUGGAAUGGGUGAAAUUUUUGGAGGGAAUGUCGGGGGAGUAUAAGGAUGUGAUGGAGAUAAAUUGGGAGUUGGGGAUGGGGAUGGUGAUGGGGAUGGAAUGGGUGAAAUUCUUGGAGGGGAUGUCGGGGGAGUAUAAGGAUGUGAUGGAGAUAAAUUGGGAGUUGGGGAUGGGGAUGGUGAAACUUUUGGAGAGGAUGUCGGGGGAGUAUAAGGAUGUGAUGGAGAUAAAUUAGGAGUUGGGGAUGGGGAUGGGGAUGGGGAUGGAAUGGGUGAAAUUCUUGGAGGGGAUGUCGGGGGAGUAUAAGGAUGUGAUGGAGAUAAAUUGGGAGUUGGGGAUGGGGGUGGUGAAACUUUUGGAGAGGAUGUCGGGGGAGUAUAAGGAUGUGAUGGAGAUAAAUUAGGAGUUGGGGAUGGGGAUGGGGAUGGGGAUGGAAUGGGUGAAAUUCUUGGAGGGGAUGUCGGGGGAGUAUAAGGAUGUGAUGGAGAUGAAUUGGGAGUUGGGGAUGGUGAUGGAAAUCGUGAAACUUUUGGAGAGGAUGUCGGUGGAGUAUAAGGAUGUAAUGGAGAUAAAUUGGGAGUUAGGGACAGUGAUGGAAUGGGUGAAAUUCUUGGAGGGGAUGUCGGGGGAGUAUAAGGAUGUGAUGGAGAUAAAUUGGGAGUUGGGGAUGGGGAUGGUGAAACUUUUGGAGAGGAUGUCGGGGGAGUAUAAGGAUGCGAAGGAGAUAAAUUAGGAGUUGGGGAUGGAGAUGGAAUGGGGGGAAUUCUCGGAGGGGAUGCUGGUGAAGUAUAAGGAGGAGAUGGAGAUAAAUUGGAAGCCGGGGAUGGGGAUGGUGGAACUUUUGAAGGGGGUGUAACUGGAGAAAUUUUAGAAGGCAAUGGAGGUAAAAUGGGAGCUGAAGAUGAGGUCGGAGGUGAAGCUGAUGGCAAUGGUGGAGACUUCGCUGGUGGUGGCGGGGGUGGAGACUUUGCUGGUGGUGGAGGUGAUUGUGUUUUCUUCUUUUUUGGAGGUGGUGGGGGCGUUUUCUUCUUAUUUGGAGGUGGUGGUGAUCGAGGCGGCGGCGGCGGUGUUCC
rnacentral:lncRNA from 1 species